AUAGCGUAUAUUAAAGUUGUUGCAGUUAAAAAGCUCGUAGUUGAACCUUGGGUCUGGGUGACUGGUCUCCCUAACUGGGUGCACUGAGAACCCGGACCUUUCCUUCUGGCAAGCCUCAUGCCCUUUACUGGGUGUGUUGGGGAACCAGGACUUUUACUUUGAAAAAAUUAGAGUGUUCAAAGCAGGCAUUUGCUCGGAUACAUUAGCAUGGAAUAAUAGAAUAGGACGUGUGGUUCUAUUUUGUUGGUUUCUAGGACCACCGUAAUGAUUAAUAGGGAUAGUCGGGGGCAUCAGUAUUCAAUUGUCAGAGGUGAAAUUCUUGGAUUAAUUGAAGACUAACUACUG
rnacentral:rRNA from 1 species